rnacentral:rRNA from 1 species
GAUGAACGCUAGCGGCAGGCCUAACACAUGCAAGUCGAGGGGUAACUAGAGUGAUAGCAAUAUUACUUUGGCUAGACCGGCGCACGGGUGCGUAACACGUAUGCAACCUACCUUAUACUGGGGAAUAACUUCGAGAAAUCGGCGCUAAUACCCCAUAACAUUGCGAAGAGGCAUCUCUUUGCAAUUAAAGCUCCGGCGGUAUAAGAUGGGCAUGCGUCCAAUUAGCUAGUUGGUGAGGUAACGGCUCACCAAGGCUACGAUUGGUAGGGGUUCUGAGAGGAUGAUCCCCCACACUUGUACUGAGACACGGACCAGACUCCUACGGGAGGCAGCAGUGAGGAAUAUUGCGCAAUGGACGAAAGUCUGACGCAGCCAUGCCGCGUGCAGGAUGACGGCCCUAUGGGUUGUAAACUGCUUUUGUACGGGAAUAAACCCUUCUACGUGUAGGAAGCUGAAGGUACCGUAAGAAUAAGCACCGGCUAACUCCGUGCCAGCAGCCGCAGUAA